GGUAAAAUGUAUCAUUUCUUACCAAAUGUGACUUGGAGAGAAUACAGUGAAGUGAGUCCUCAGUUCUGUGUUUGAGAAGGGGAGUUUUUUUGGGUUGGCUUGGUUACAGUCUGAUGGUAAAACAUUAGCAUAGGAAAACUCAUGAACGAUUCAAAGGCAAAGUUUUCCAACUUUUUAGUUUAUUUCAUACAGUAGGCAAUAUGAUGGAAAAAUACUCUGACAAUUCACUUGUAAUGUCAAUUACAUUUUGAUUCUAUGUAGCCUAAUGAACGGAGUGAGUAUGGUUAACACUUUACUUUUAGAAAUGUAAUUAAUAACGACAGUGUAAAGUGUUACUUGCAAUAUUUAGCUGUCAAGAUUAAUAUAUUCUGCGGAAUUUGCUGCUUCUAUUGGAGGCAAUAAAGUAGAGCUGGAGUAUCCGGAAACCGCGCUUCUUCAUUGAUGAAUGAAGCGCGAGGGCAGGGCUCUCUGUUUGAGGAAAGUCGAGCGCCACGAUUUGUUUACGAACGUGCGCGGACACUCUUCAAGUGUACCUUUUGCUUUAUUGGUCUCAGUUCUCAUCCCACCGUCCUGGAACAAGACUGGUAUGUUCACUCGCAGCUCCAAGAAGAGAGAAUCCAGUAGAACGCUGAACACCCUUGCUGAAUCAGAGAGUGAACAGCUGUGUAACGUGUGUGGAGACCAGUGACCGGGCUUCAUUCUGCACCAAUGGAGAUAAGCCAGACAGUUCUAAGAAUGAAGCACUUUGUGAGGGAUAGAGUGUUUCAUUUCAAGUAAUUGACAUCAGGUAAGGGUCCCGUCCUAAAAUGUGUCAUUGACACUGCAGAAUCAAAUCAAAUGUUAUUGGUCGCAUACACACACAUAGCAGAUGUUUUUGCGGGUGUAGCAAAAUGCUUGUGUUCCUAGCUCCAACAGUGCAAUAACAUCUAACAAUGAACGGGCAAACCCUUUACCGGUCUGUUGAGGGGUUGAUAGUUUGGUAUGUAAAUAAAUUACCAACGGUUUGUCUGGACUGUCUCAGUGUAGCAGAGUCACAUAGAGUUAUUGAACUCAUAAAGUCUGCAUUGCAAUUGAAAAGUUUAGGACCUUGUGUCUUGUGAAAUAGGAGACUAUAUAACUAACAAGUCAAGGCCAUUUUUCAUGUUUAGGCCACUCAGUGAUUUAUCUCUCAACCUGAUAUCCUUGUAGUUUGAGCUAGCAGGGAGCGUUCUUCUUUCACUCAAUUUGAAGUUGAACAUGUUCAAAUUAGCUUUGACUAUUCACAAGAUGUCAUAUCUAACGACCAGAAUCUAUCAGUCCAUGGCAUCAUAGGUUAUUGUAAGUUCAGUACCACCACACUGCCACCAACCCAGCAGAGUGAUGUGGUGAAUAUGCAGGUUGUCAUGUGUUAAAGUUAACCAGGAGAAUACUGCAGGCUCACUGGGGACUGAGACAUCAUGGAGGAGGGAUUACACAUCGUAGGUGUGAAAUCAUCACUCUCUAACCACACUCUCGCAGGAUCCUGAUGUGGUGUCACUAAUGUGGAACAGCACUUUCUAUGCUUUUGGCAGUUUCAAACAAACCACCAGUCUGACAACUGUCUGUUUGGCUUUCUGUCACGAAUAGAACAAACCAUACAGAAUCACAUUGGGGAGGGAUUUACC
rnacentral:lncRNA from 1 species